rnacentral:rRNA from 1 species
UGGGGAAUUUUGGACAAUGGGCGAAAGCCUGAUCCAGCAAUGCCGCGUGUGUGAAGAAGGCCUUCGGGUUGUAAAGCACUUUUGUCCGGAAGGAAAUCCUUGGCUCUAAUACAGUCGGGGGAUGACGGUACCGGAAGAAUAAGCACCGGCUAACUACGUGCCAGCAGCCGCGGUAAUACGUAGGGCGCAAGCGUUAAUCGGAAUUACUGGGCGUAAAGCGUGCGCAGGCGGUUUGCUAAGACCGAUGUGAAAUCCCCGGGCUCAACCUGGGAACUGCAUUGGUGACUGGCAGGCUAGAGUAUGGCAGAGGGGGGUAGAAUUCCACGUGUAGCAGUGAAAUGCGUAGAGAUGUGGAGGAAUACCGAUGGCGAAGGCAGCCCCCUGGGCCAAUACUGACGCUCAUGCACGAAAGCGUGGGGAGCAAACAGGAUUAGAUACCCUGGUAGUCCACGCCCUAAACGAUGUCACUAGUUGUUGGGGAUUCAUUUCCUUAGUAACGUAGCUAACGCGUGAAGUUGACCGCCUGGGGAGUACGGUCGCAAGAUUAAAACUCAAAGGAAUUGACGGGGUCAUAGCUGUUUCCU